UACGUAGGGUGCGAGCGUUGUCCGGAAUUACUGGGCGUAAAGAGCUCGUAGGUGGUUUGUCGCGUUGUCCGUGAAAAACUCACAACUCAAUUGUGGGCGUGCGGGCGAUACGGGCAGACUGGAGUACUGCAGGGGAGACUGGAAUUCCUGGUGUAGCGGUGAAAUGCGCAGAUAUCAGGAAGAACACCCGUGGCGAAGGCGGCUCUCUGGGACGGUACUGACGCUGAGACGCGAAAGCGUGGGGAGCGAACAGG
rnacentral:rRNA from 1 species